rnacentral:rRNA from 1 species
CCCUUAGAUGUUCUGGGCCGCACGCGCGCUACACUGACGAAUGCAACGAGCUUAUAACCUUGGCCGAAAGGUCUGGGUAAUCUCCAAAUUUCGUCGUGAUGGGGAUAGAUUAUUGCAAUUAUUAAUCUUCAACGAGGAAUGCCUAGUAAGCGCCAGUCAUCAGCUUGCGUUGAUUACGUCCCUGCCCUUUGUACACACCGCCCGUCGCUCCUACCGAUUGAAUGGUCCGGUGAAGCGUUCGGACCGUGGCCUUUGGACGGUUCGCCGUCUGUUGGCUGCGGGAAGUUCGUUAAACCUUAUCAUUUAGAGGAAGGAGAANUCGUANCA